GCCUGAGGUUCUCCUCUAAAACCUGCCUCUUUAUGAGUUACAAUUGUGUAGAUGGGUAAUGCUCAAUUGGUGAUUGCAAGCCGCCAAUAAAAAAUGAAUAAGAAGUUUUUGCAGACAGCUGCAACCUGUUUUGUUUUGUUUUUUUGUUGUUGUUUUAAUUAAACUACGGAGGGUCAUCUUGAUUAAUUUAAGACAGUACAAACCAGCUCUUCAUCGUGUUAAUUGAGCCGUGGACCUUCAUCUUAGUCAGUUUAAGAAUUACACCUGAUCUUCCUGUUUCUGUCCAGACUAAGAGGAUCCAGUAGACUUGAUAGGAAACCGACGUUGAAGACCAUGUGACGGCAGGAAUGGAUGUGGGCAUUCUCAUAAUUCCUGAUGGAGAUGAUGCCCUUGACUACUACGUGGUGCUGGAGGAACAGAUUGCCCUGAGAGAUGCCGUAGACCUCCCUCAUGCUGCCGCUCUACUAGUCGGGCUGAUUUUUGCGCUUAAUAUUGAUUAUCCCAAAAAACUACGCUACACAUUUGAGGUCAUUCAAAAGAUUUUCAUUGACCUUGGAGGUGAUCAGUGUUCUGGUGCAUGGACUGAAAAAUAGACUACUUCGCAAAACUGUGUAGUGUCCUAACUGAAAGGUAUAUGAUGUGUGCCUUUUUGUUCAUGAUUUAGCCUGGUGAAUUUCUGGUUGUUUUAAAACGAUGAAUGUUCAAUUCUUGACGUGGUACUUUAUGCAGUGCUAAUAUAUGUAACUCAAUAUAAAAAUAUCUUGUUUGAUUUUUAGACACUUGUUUUCUGUUUAUACAGUGUUAUUGUUAAUGUACAUUAAGUCAAGUCACCUUUAUUUAUAUAGCGCUUUUAACAAUACAGAUUGUGUCAAAGCACUUAACAGUAUCAAAUUGGAGGACAGAGUGUCAGUAAUGUAUAAUGAUAAGAUUAAACACUCAAUUUUCAGUUAAAGUCAUUUCAUUAUUGAGUUCAGAGAUGUCAUUGUGUAGCUCAGUUUAGUUUAAAUAGUAUCUGUGCAAUGAAA